rnacentral:rRNA from 1 species
UUUGCCUACGGGACGCAGCAGUGGGGAAUAUUGGACAAUGGGGGGAACCCUGAUCCAGCGACGCCGCGUGAGUGAAGAAGUAUUUCGGUAUGUAAAGCUCUAUCAGCAGGGAAGAAAGAAAUGACGGUACCUGACUAAGAAGCCCCGGCUAACUACGUGCCAGCAGCCGCGGUAAUACGUAGGGGGCAAGCGUUAUCCGGAUUUACUGGGUGUAAAGGGAGCGUAGACGGUCCUGCAAGCCAGAUGUGAAAGCCCGGGGCUCAACCCCGGGACUGCAUUUGGAACUGUAAGGCUAGAGUGUCGGG